AACGCACAUUGCGCUCCCUGGUAUUCCGGGGAGCAUGCCCGUUUCAGAAUCAUUUUAAUAUCUCACCAAGUUAUGGGUGGCAAGCUCAUAAUCAGGUGGAAUUUGGAUGUUUUGUCUCUGUACAAUCAUCUUAAAAUGAUCGUAUGUGCUUGAGUGUGCUCUGGCAGUUGGGUACCAACGUGCAACAGAUUUUAUCUUUUCGCUUUGGUGUUUAAUUGAAAUCAGGUACCUGAAGCAUAUAUUUGCUGGCUUACAGAUGUUAUGCAUAAUGCAUGUAUAGCUUCUGAUAACUUGGUCUGAAAUCGGGCAAGAAAACCCGCUGAACUUAA
rnacentral:misc_RNA from 1 species